GGCCCAAUGGCUUAGUGCUUACACGUUAAGCUUGAAACCAAGAGGUCCCGGGUUCGAAUCCUGGUUAGGGCA